GAACUGCGAUAAGUAAUGUGAAUUGCAGAAUUCAGUGAAUCAUCGAGUCUUUGAACGCACAUUGCGCCCCCUGGCAUUCCGGGGGGCAUGCCUGUCCGAGCGUCAUUUCAACCAUCAAGCCCCCGGGCUUGUGUUGGGGACCUGCGGCUGCCCGCAGGCCCUGAAAACCAGUGGCGGGCUCGCUGUCACACCGAGCGUAGUAGCAAUCACCUCGCUCAGGGCGUGCUGCGGGUUCCGGCCGUUAAACAGCCUUACAAAACCCAAGGUUGACCUCGGAUCAGGUAGGAAGACCCGCUGAACUUAAGC
rnacentral:misc_RNA from 1 species